AGUGAUAGAAGAUCUUGAAACUUAAAAUAUUUGGCGGUUUGUUAGGCUAGUUAGGGGAACCUGUCCCGUGAUGGAUAGUCCUCCGUAGAUUUUACUUUUUUUAUAAAUACCGCCGUUAAUGACAGGUCAAGGUUUAGCUGAUAGAAAAGGUUGAAGGUGGAUUUAAAUGUUUAUGGUGGAGAUUUGAGCUCUAAUAAAUGU
rnacentral:rRNA from 1 species